AAUCCAUAGGUUAAUGAGGCGAACCGGGGGAACUGAAACAUCUAAGUACCCCGAGGAAAAGAAAUCAACCGAGAUUCCCCCAGUAGCGGCGAGCGAACGGGGAGGAGCCCAGAGCCUGAAUCAGCAUGUGUGUUAGUGGAAGCGUCUGGAAAGGCGCGCGAUACAGGGUGACAGCCCCGUACACAAAAGCGCAUGUGCUGUGAGCUCGAUGAGUAGGGCGGGACACGUGGUAUCCUGUCUGAAUAUGGGGGGACCAUCCUCCAAGGCUAAAUACUCCUGACUGACCGAUAGUGAACCAGUACCGUGAGGGAAAGGCGAAAAGAACCCCGGCGAGGGGAGUGAAAAAGAACCUGAAACCGUGUACGUACAAGCAGUGGGAGCCCCACCACCAAAGCAUUUGCUGUACCGCGUUGACGGAGCGAAGCGACGUCAAACCGAUAAAACAGCAGUGUAAAGUGAGCCGCAGGGCGCUUUGCGCGACAGCGCAAAGGCAGGCGGUUUCGCGUAGCGAAAGCGAAUGCUUUGGGGUGGGGUGACUGCGUACCUUUUGUAUAAUGGGUCAGCGACUUAUAUUCUGUAGCAAGGUUAACCGAAUAGGGGAGCCGUAGGGAAACCGAGUCUUAACCGGGCGUUAAGUUGCAGGGUAUAGACCCGAAACCCGGUGAUCUAGCCAUGGGCAGGUUGAAGGUUGGGUAACACUAACUGGAGGACCGAACCGACUAAUGUUGAAAAAUUAGCGGAUGACCUGUGGCUGGGGGUGAAAGGCCAAUCAAACCGGGAGAUAGCUGGUUCUCCCCGAAAGCUAUUUAGGUAGCGCCUCGUGAAUUCAUCUCCGGGGGUAGAGCACUGUUUCGGCUAGGGGGCCAUCCCGGCUUACCAACCCGAUGCAAACUGCGAAUACCGGAGAAUGUUAUCACGGGAGACACACGGCGGGUGCUAACGUCCGUCGUGAAGAGGGAAACAACCCAGACCGCCAGCUAAGGUCCCAAAGUCAUGGUUAAGUGGGAAACGAUGUGGGAAGGCCCAGACAGCCAGGAUGUUGGCUUAGAAGCAGCCAUCAUUUAAAGAAAGCGUAAUAGCUCACUGGUCGAGUCGGCCUGCGCGGAAGAUGUAACGGGGCUAAACCAU
rnacentral:rRNA from 4 species